GUGGGGAAUCUUGCGCAAUGGGCGAAAGCCUGACGCAGCCAUGCCGCGUGAAUGAUGAAGGUCUUAGGAUUGUAAAAUUCUUUCACCGGGGACGAUAAUGACGGUACCCGGAGAAGAAGCUCCGGCUAACUUCGUGACAGCAGCCGCGGUAAUACGAAGGGGGCUAGCGUUGCUCGGAAUUACUGGGCGUAAAGGGCGCGUAGGCGGACAGCUUAGUCAGAGGUGAAAGCCCAGGGCUCAACCUUGGAAUUGCCUUUGAUACUGGCUGUCUUGAGUUUGGGAGAGGUGAGUGGAACUCCGAGUGUAGAGGUGAAAUUCGUAGAUAUUCGGAAGGACACCAGUGGCGAAGGCGACUCACUGGCCCAAUACUGACGCUGAGGCGCGAAAGCGUGGGGAGCAAACAGGAUUAGAUACCCUAGUAGUCC
rnacentral:rRNA from 1 species